GGAGUUGUGGCUCAGGGUUAGAGCACUUGCCUGCCAUGCAUGAGACCCUGGGUUCGAUCCACAGCACUGCA
rnacentral:tRNA from 1 species